rnacentral:pre_miRNA from 1 species
GUAAUACUCUCUCCGAUCCGUAUUACUUGUCGAAAUAUUACAUGUGUCUAGACGCUUUUUAAACAUAGAUACAUCCAUAUUUGGGUAAAUUUGAGACAAGUAAUGUGGAUCGGAGGAAGUAUUAA